CAGCGCCACGAGUGGGAACCACGUUUAUUGGGCCUAAAGCGUCCGUAGCCGGUUUGUUAAAUUUUUUGUGAAAUCGCAAGGCCUAACUUUUCGGCAUGCAGAAAAGACUGGCAAACUUGGAACCGGGAGGAGUUAGAAGUAUUCAAGGGGUAGCGGUAAAAUGUUCUGAUCCUUUGAAGACUACCUGUGGCGAAGGCGUCUAACUAGAGCGGAUUCGACGGUGAGGGACGAAAGCCAGGGGAGCAAAACGGAUUAGAUACCCGUGUAGUCC
rnacentral:rRNA from 1 species